UCAAAACGGAGGAACCCGAGAGACUCCUCGAGGACUGCAGGCUCGGCGCGGAGCCCGCGUCCAAUGGCCCGGCUCGUGGCAGCGCGGAGGUCAUCUUGGCCCCAACGUCCGGUGCCUUUGGGCCGCACCAGCAAGACCUCAGGAUCCCUCUGGACUCUCCACACUGCUUCCCCUGGGGCCCGGAUCCAGUUUCAGGAAGCUCCGCCUUCAGAGCUGAUAAGAUUGACCAAGGUCCCCCUGACACCAGUGCCUAUUAAAAUGCAGUCCCUACUGGAGCCUUCUGUAAAAAUUGAAACCAAAGAUGUCCCCUCACUGUGCUGCCCUCAGAUGCAGGGGAUUAACUGAACAUGAGGGAAGAGAGCAGAUCAGUGCUCAGAAAGGGAAUGUAUGUUGCUCAGGGUCUCAGAGGAAACUGAGGAAUCACACAA
rnacentral:lncRNA from 10 species